UACAGAGGUGGCAAGCGUUGUUCGGAAUUACUGGGCGUAAAGGGCGCGUAGGCGGCCAUCUAAGUCAGACGUGAAAUCCCCCGGCUUAACCUGGGAACUGCGUCUGAUACUGGACGGCUAGAGUAUGGGAGAGGGAUGUAGAAUUCCAGGUGUAGCGGUGAAAUGCGUAGAUAUCUGGAGGAAUACCGGUGGCGAAGGCGGCAUCCUGGACCAUUUACUGACGCUGAGGCGCGACAGCGUGGGGAGCAAACAGG
rnacentral:rRNA from 1 species